UACGGUCACGAAUCGCAAAAUCAGGCGUUAUUCUUGCCACUUACACCCACAAGUCGAUACUGCACGGGUCUGCGUUAAGAAUAAAGCGUAGUAGAAUUGUUUGUUGACUUUCUCAGCGAUUGAGGACUCUUUCAUGAUUGAGACGUUGAUCAAGUUGGUAUUCGUCCUACGUUGUCUACCAGAUCGGAGACGAGCGGAAGGGGAAGUAGCAACGACAAGCUGUUAAUCAGCGGUCGAAACGGUUUGGAAAGAUUAAGUGAAAGGUUAACGUCGUGUCUAUCAUGGUAGCUUACUUCUUCCGCUGGGAGACAGAGAUAGUAAUCAUUGCCUCGAGCAAUCGUGCACUUUCUCACACAUCCUGAGCUAUUUAGGGAGUCUUAGUCAGAGCUUUUACACUUCCUCUUCGACGCCUCUGUGUUGUAAACGGCUUUUAGGUGUGAAUAAAGAACAAUAGACCCGA